rnacentral:rRNA from 1 species
UAACCUACGGGGCGCAGCAGUGAGGAAUAUUGGUCAAUGGGCUUACGCCUGAACCAGCCAAGUCGCGUGAGGGAAGACUGCCCUAUGGAUUGUAAACCUCUUUUGCAGGGGAGCAAGGCGCGGUACGUGUACCGCGAAGGAGAGUACCCUGAGAAAAAGCAUCGGCUAACUCCGUGCCAGCAGCCGCGGUAAUGCGGAGGAUGCGAGCGUUAUCCGGAUUUAUUGGGUUUAAAGGGUGCGCAGGCGGACUGUUAAGUCAGCGGUAAAAUGUCGGUGCUCAACACCGGCCGGCCGUUGAAACUGGG